CUCUCAAAUUCGUUCUCCUUUUUCCUUUGAUGAUCAACAUAUGCAAAGAUUUCAAUCCUCCAUAACUUCCUCGUUUCUCUACGGAAUUGGAUGAUUCUUGCGGCCACGGAACGAGGAGAAGGAGAGCUACUGAUCUAGCCCUAUUAUUCAAGGAGUUUAUAAGCUUUCAUGGAAGAUUGUUGAUGGUGAAUUUAAGCCUUGAAGCUUCGGCAUAGGGACAACAUCCAAGACUCGACGAAGCGACUAUCGACAAGGCUCGAGGGGAACGGAUCGAGAUGUCUUCAUGUUUAUUUGAAGAAUUUGGAUAGCAAGUGGUGAGUACACUUUAAAUUACUCGUUAAUAUUCAUAAAACUACGUAUUUUAAUACGAAAAGCUAUAUGAAUAUUUAU